rnacentral:rRNA from 1 species
AGCAGCCGCGGUAAUUCCAGCUCCAAUAGCGUAUAUUAAAGUUGUUGCAGUUAAAAAGCUCGUAGUUGAAUUUCGGGGUUAGUAGGUUGGUCGUGCCUCUGGUAUGUACUGGUCUCACUGAUUCCUCCUUCCUGAUGAACCUUAAUGCCAUUAAUUUGGUGUUUUGGGGAAUUUGGACUGUUACUUUGAAAAAAUUAGAGUGUUUAAAGCAAGCUAACGCUUGAAUACAUUAGCAUGGAAUAAUGAAAUAGGACGUUCGAUCCUAUUUUGUUGGUUUCUAGGAUUGACGUAAUGAUUAAUAGGGAUAGUUGGGGGCAUUAGUAUUCAAUUGUCAGAGGUGAAAUUCUUGGAUUUAUUGAAGACUAACUACUGCGAAAGCAUUUGCCAAGGAUGUUUUCAUUAAUCAAGAACGAAAGUUAGGGGAUCGAAGACGAUCAGAUACCGUCGUAGUCUUAACCAUAAACUAUGCCGACUAGGGAUCGGAUGAUGUUAAUUUUUUAAUGACUCA